UCCUGGUUAAUGAGGCAUGGGGCUGAAAAGGAGGCAAUGAAUGGAAUAAAGAAAUAAACGAAAAUGCACGGUGUACGUAACAUCUUAAAAGCCAACUGGGUUGAACAGCUAGAGGGUCAGCAGAAAUUUUGGCUGCAGUAACUGCAUCUGGUCAUACACUGAAGUCGCAUGAAGUCUCCAAUUUUCCAGUCCUUUUGUGAAUCUGAAUGCUGGAAACUGCUACACGAUGUGAUUGAACCCCAGGAGAACAUCUUUGGGUUUGCCAUGUUUUAAACAAACCCAGACAAAAUCUAUAAAAUUUCCCUGUUCUUGACAUUCUACUGAGAUUCUAUUAAAUGAUGGGGAAAAAGCACACAGACUGGUACUUUUUCCUCAAGAGAAAAGGCGGCUGGCUGGGACUGCUGUACGGACAAGGAAGGACUCCUGCCGGAACCCGACUCAGGUGGCUCUGAGGGUCCAAUUCCCUGUCUGUCAGAGGCUCCAGCUCGUGGCGAUCAGGUACAGGAGAUGGUCAGCAGACCCGGAAACUGGCAUCAUCACUCUAAACACUUUGUGCCAUGAGUAAGUAGCACAGACACCACAGCGCAUGUGGAAUAAGCCCGGCUCCUCCUCUCUGACUCGUGGAAAUGUCAAUAUCGGGUACUGUACUCGACCAAGCAAUGCAGUGCAAAGCCAUCAAACUAGGCCCCUCAAUACAAGGAGAAAAAGAUACAUUUGAAAACCAACGAAACCACUGAAAUGAAAUAUGUGACGGAGCGGGACUGCACUGAUAUCUCACACCUGCUUCCCAGGCCCCCGGCUGCAUGGGCUGUCCUGUGUAUUAGGAGUAGCGCUAGGAGAGAAUGAAUUAAAUUUGUUUCCUCUGAGCUGA